rnacentral:rRNA from 1 species
AAAUACASGGGAACKUGUCYUGUAGUGGGGAAUAGCCCGGCRAAAAGCSGAAUAAAUACWCCAUACGCUCUASGGAGRAAAGGGGGGGAUCUUAGGACCUCUCGCUACAGGGGCGGCCGAUGGCAGAUUAGCUAGUUGGUGGGGUAAAGGCCUACMAAGGCGACGAUCUGUAGCUGGUCUGAGAGGACGACCAGCCACACUGGGACUGAGACACGGCCCAGACCCCUACGGGAGGCAGCAGUGGGGAAUUUUGGACAAUGGGGGCAACCCUGACCCAGCAAUGCCGCGUGUGUGAARAAGSCCHMCGGGUUGUAAAGCACUUWUGUCCGGAAAGAAACCCUCUGGGUUAAUACCCCGGGGGGAUGACGGUACCGGAAGAAUAAGCACCGGCUAACUACGUGCCAGCAGCCGCGGUAAUACGUAGGGUGCAAGCGUUAAUCGGAAUUACUGGGCGUAAAGCGUGCGCAGGCGGUCCGCUAAGACAGAUGUGAAAUCCCCGGGCUUAACCUGGGAACUGCAUUUGUGACUGGCGGGCUAGAGUAUGGCAGAGGGGGGUAGAAUUCCACGUGUAGCAGUGAAAUCCGUAGAGAUGUGGAGGAAUACCGAUGGCGAAGGCAGCCCCCUGGGCCAAUACUGACGCUMAUGCACGAAAGCGUGGGGAGCAAACAGGAUWAGAUACCCUGGUAGUCCACGCCCUAAACGAUGUCAACUAGUUGUCGGGUCDRRAUUGACUUGGUAACGUACUAACGCGUGAAGUUGACCGCCUGGGGAGUAUGGUCGUAA